GAACAAGGCAAGGAAGAAGAGGCCAGAAGAAAUUCUUGAAAUCAUCAUAAAGAAAUUUAAACUCCUCCUUCAGGAGAAAAUGACUCUAGAUGCGAAAGUGCAUGUGUUGACAUCCUACCUGGAAGCCUUUGAAGAGUUCCAGCAAAUGACAGGAGACCAAGAGACCCAAGACUGGAGUGAGGCCCAGGAACCAAACCAACCAGAGAUGCUGCAGGAUAAGCACAUCCCCAGGAUGGUGCAGGAAAAGACAAAUCAAGACCGGGAGGUAAAAACAUUAGAACGAGGAGCUGCAAUGUGCCUGCAGCCUAAGAGGGGGAAAGGAGUCCUUGGGAGGAUGUAGAGCGGUCAUUGCUGCAGUCAUCCUUCAGAACAUGAAACUGGCCAUGAACUCGAGUUAAACCAACCUUUGGUUUUGACCAUUUGGUUUCACAAGCGGACAGCCAAACCAAUCUAGUUGAAGAGCUCUGCAUGUGGCUGACAGCAGCUUUCCUAAGGGCUUGCAUUUGAAAUGGGAUCUCAGGGCAAUCUCUGCCGGCCACUUUCCUGACACAAACUCAUUUCUUGUCUCAGAUCUGCAGUGGCCUUCUCACUGAAGCAGCUGCUUCAGCAGCAGCAGCAGCAGCAGCAUCCCAAGGAGCCUUUGCUCUCCAGCUGGAGAAGUGGAGCUGGGGCACUUGGUUCACCUCCUGUGCUGACCCAGCUGCCGCUCAGCAACAGCGGAUCGAGGAUGACUCCCUGCAGCAAUGGAGGAGAAUGGUGAAGAUGGAAAAUCCCAUGAUGAAAUACACUAAUCUGGAAUAUAUUGGCAGGGGGACUUUUGGAGAUGUUUGUAAAGCACUCGACACUGCCACAGGAGGAGAGGUAAAUG